UUUGUUUUGAAAAAGCAAAAUUUUGACUUUUAGCUUUCGUCUUCAUGUUGAAUAUAAUAUUUAGGUAAAACAAUCGAGCGUUUUUGUGUGCAUUUCUAACAAUGUCAACUCAACUAGCGAAGGCAGGAGAUCGUGUACAAGUGACAGGAAAGAGCCUUACAGGAACAGUCAAAUAUGUUGGCUCGACCAUGUUUGCAUCGGGAAAAUGGAUUGGAGUAGAACUGGAUGAAGCCAAGGGCAAAAAUGAUGGCUCAG